rnacentral:rRNA from 1 species
GAUGAACGCUGGCGGCGUGCCUAAUACAUGCAAGUCGAGCGAACAGACGAGGAGCUUGCUCCUCUGACGUUAGCGGCGGACGGGUGAGUAACACGUGGAUAACCUACAUAUAAGACUGGGAUAACUUCGGGAAACCGGAGCUAAUACCGGAUAAUAUAUUGAACCGCAUGGUUCAAUAGUGAAAGACGGUUUUGCUGUCACUUAUAGAUGGAUCCGCGCCGCAUUAGCUAGUUGGUAAGGUAACGGCUUACCAAGGCAACGAUGCGUAGCCGACCUGAGAGGGUUGUUGGCCACCAUGGAACUGAGAACCGGUCCCGGCUCCUACGGGGAGCAGCAGUAGGGAAUCUUCCGCAAUGGGCGGAAGCCUGGCGGAGCAACGCCGCGUGAGUGAUGAAAGUCUUCGGAUCGUAAAACUCUGUUAUUAGGGAAGAACAACUGUGUAAGUAACUAUGCACGUCUUGACGGUACCUAAUCAGAAAGCCACGGCUAACUACGUG